GGGCGUAGCCAAGUGGUUAAGGCACCGGAUUGUGGUUCCGGCAUUCGGGGGUUCAAGUCCCCUCGUCC
rnacentral:tRNA from 1 species